rnacentral:rRNA from 1 species
GAUCAUGGCUCAGGAUGAACGCUAGCUACAGGCUUAACACAUGCAAGUCGAGGGGAAACGACAUCGAAAGCUUGCUUUUGAUGGGCGUCGACCGGCGCACGGGUGAGUAACGCGUAUCCAACCUGCCCAUCACUUGGGAAUAACCUUGCGAAAGUAAGACUAAUGCCCAAUGAUAUCUCUAGAAGACAUCUGAGAGAGAUUAAAGAUUCAUCGGUGAUGGAUGGGG